rnacentral:rRNA from 1 species
CACGUAGGGGGCGAGCGUUGUCCGGAAUCAUUGGGCGUAAAGCGCGUGUAGGCGGUCCGGUAAGUCCGCUGUGAAAGUCGGGGGCUCAACCCUCGGAUGCCGGUGGAUACUGUCGGGCUUGAGUACGGAAGAGGCGAGUGGAAUUCCUGGUGUAGCGGUGAAAUGCGCAGAUAUCAGGAGGAACACCAAUGGCGAAGGCAGCUCGCUGGAACGGUACUGACGCUGAGGCGCGAAAGCGUGGGGAGCAAACAGG